AAAAAAAAAAAAAAAAAAAAAAAAAAAAAAAAAAAAAAAAAAAAAAA
rnacentral:ribozyme from 13 species